CUAUUUAAUUACAUUAAUAUCUAGUAUUGAAUCAAAAUUAAUAACACAUUUAAAAUCUAGAAGAAUGAAACAUAUACCACCUAAUUAUAAUAAAAUUAGAUUUAGAUAUCCACCGAGAUAUUAUAAACAUAAUUUAAAAUGAAUAAAAUACAACGAUAUAAAGAAUUAAAACAAAUUAUCUCUGAAAAACGUAAAGAAUUAAAAAUAAGAAUAGAAAGACUAAAUUAUAAUAUAUUUGCCGGAGUUAGUAAAAAUUCAAUA
rnacentral:lncRNA from 1 species